rnacentral:lncRNA from 1 species
GCGAGUGAAGGAGGGCAGUCGGCGGCUCUCGCGCCCCGGCCACUUUCCCUGCGCGAUUCCCGGAGCUCCCUGCAGGAGGCAGUUUGAAAAUUGCAAGGAGGGACUUUAAGACUACUUCUGAUUUGCAAAGAUUGUCUGUGCUCUGAGCAGGCUGAAGUGACUGGACGAGACGCACUGUUGGAGAAAUAAAAAUGACUUCCCAUUAUGUGAUUGCCAUCUUUGCCCUGAUGAGCUCCUGUUUAGCCACUGCAGGUCCAGAGCCUGGUGCACUGUGUGAACUGUCACCUGUCAGUGCCUCCCAUCCUGUCCAGGCCUUGAUGGAGAGCUUCACUGUUUUGUCAGGCUGUGCCAGCAGAGGCACAACUGGGCUGCCACAGGAGGUGCAUGUCCUGAAUCUCCGCACUGCAGGCCAGGGGCCUGGCCAGCUACAGAGAGAGGUAGGUGCAGGUGUCAGCUCUCAGCCCACUGCCACUGAGUCUGCAGAGAUGAUUUUCUGGACAGAAGUCCUUUUCUUCUCUUCUGGGGUUCAACAAAAGAAGCUCAUGUAUGAACAUAAGAGAACAGAUUUAAAAUACCAGCUGCUGUCUGGAUUGGGCAACUUUAGGAUUUCUCUGUCUAGAGAUUGGUUGGCUCUCCCCAUUUCCUGGCCCUCCGUAUUGGAAAAAAACGUUCAUAAGAAUUUCAACUUUUAGGCCAGGCAUGGUGAUGGUGCACACCUGUAAUCUCAGCACUUUGAGAGGCCAAGGUGGGAGGAUCGCAUGAGCUCAGGAGUUCAAGACCAGCCUGGGAAACAUAGCAAGACCUCAUCUCUACU